rnacentral:rRNA from 1 species
GACGAACGCUGGCGGCGUGCUUAACACAUGCAAGUCGAACGGAAAGGCCCUGCUUUUGUGGGGUGCUCGAGUGGCGAACGGGUGAGUAACACGUGAGUAACCUGCCCUUGACUUUGGGAUAACUUCAGGAAACUGGGGCUAAUACCGGAUAGGAGCUCCUGCUGCAUGGUGGGGGUUGGAAAGUUUCGGCGGUUGGGGAUGGACUCGCGGCUUAUCAGCUUGUUGGUGGGGUAGUGGCUUACCAAGGCUUUGACGGGUAGCCGGCCUGAGAGGGUGACCGGCGACAUUGGGACUGAGAUACGGCCCAGACUCCUAUGGGAGGCAGAAGUGGGGAAUAUUGCACAAUGGGCGGAAGCCUGAUGCAGCAACGCCGCGUGCGGGAUGACGGCCUUCGGGUUGUAAACCGCUUUCGCCUGUGACGAAGCGUGAGUGACGGUAAUGGGUAAAGAAGCACCGGCUAACUACGUG